rnacentral:rRNA from 1 species
UACGGAGGGGACUAGCGUUGUUCGGAAUUACUGGGCGUAGAGCGCACGUAGGCGGAUUUGUAAGUCAGGGGUGAAAUCCCGGGGCUCAACCUCGGAACUGCCUUUGAUACUGCAAAUCUCGAGUCCGGAAGAGGUGAGUGGAAUUCCUAGUGUAGAGGUGAAAUUCGUAGAUAUUAGGAAGAACACCAGUGGCGAAGGCGGCUAUCUGGACGGUUUCUGACACUAAGACUCGAAAGCGUGGAGAGCAAACAGG